CUACGGGACGCUGCAGUGAGGAAUAUUGCACAAUGGGGGAAACCCUGAUGCAGCAACGCCGCGUGGAGGAUGACGCAUUUCGGUGUGUAAACUCCUUUUAUAUGUCAAGAAAAUGACGGUAGCAUAUGAAUAAGCACCGGCUAACUCCGUGCCAGCAGCCGCGGUAAUACGGAGGGUGCAAGCGUUACUCGGAAUCACUGGGCGUAAAGGACGCGUAGGCGGGUUGGAAAGUCAGGUGUGAAAUCCUACAGCUUAACUGUAGAACUGCACUUGAAACUUCUAAUCUAGGGUAUGGGAGGGGGAGAUGGAAUUAGUGGUGUAGGGGUAAAAUCCGUAGAUAUCACUAGGAAUACCUAAAGCGAAGGCGAUCUCCUGGAACAUUACUGACGCUAAGGCGUGAAAGCGUGGGGAGCAAACAGGAUUAGAUACCCGAGUAGUC
rnacentral:rRNA from 1 species